GUGCAACCGUUGUUCGGAAUUACUGGGCGUAAAGCGUGUGUAGGCGGCUCUGCAAGUCGGAUGUGAAAGCCCUGGGCUCAACCCAGGAAGUGCACUCGAUACUGCAGAGCUUGAGUAUCGGAGAGGUUGGUGGAAUUCUCGGUGUAGAGGUGAAAUUCGUAGAUAUCGAGAGGAACACCGGUGGCGAAGGCGGCCAACUGGACGAAUACUGACGCUGAGACACGAAAGCGUGGGGAGCAAACAGG
rnacentral:rRNA from 1 species